GACAGAGGGUGCAAACGUUGUUCGGAAUUACUGGGCGUAAAGCGCGUGUAGGCGGCAAUACAAGUCGGAUGUGAAAUCCCGCGGCUUAACCGUGGAAGUGCACCCGAAACUGUAUCGCUAGAGUCCCGGAGAGGAUGGUGGAAUACUUGGUGUAGAGGUGAAAUUCGUAGAUAUCAAGUGGAACACCGGUGGCGAAGGCGGCCAUCUGGACGGUGACUGACGCUGGAGACGCGAAAGCGUGGGUAGCAAACAGG
rnacentral:rRNA from 1 species